AUGCCAGUCCUUUGCCAGUCCUGUGAAGUCCACAUGCUUAGCUCCUCCAACUCUAGAGGCCCAGCUGACCCUCCAGUGGUCAGUCCUUUCCCCCCUUCCCUCCCCAGCAGCAGGCCCUUUAAAAGUCCAUCGCGGAUCCCAAUACAGCAGAGCCUAUGCAGAGUUAGCAUCCUCCAGUGGACGAGACACAAUGCAGCAAUGUUUGGUGUGGAUGCAUGGACCCUUCCCAAUAACGCAGGGGCCCACAGGUUGAGAAGCACUAUUCCGGACCUGUACUGCCCCUACAAGGGGCCCAGAGAGGAAAAAGCAAUUUUCCCGUGGCCACAAAGUCAUGCUGAUUUCAGUGCCAACAGUCUUUCUGAGCCACAUGCCCCCCUGCCCCCCUCACUGUCCUCCCCUCAUAGAGAGAAAAGCCAAGUUGAAACAUCUAUAGGAGUCUUUAUUACAACACGUUGUUUCCAAAUACAAAAGAAAAGAACAGAAAGAGGGAGGGAGAGGCCGGCCGCUGCCGGUCACCGAUACGUAGCUCCACCAGGUGGGGGGGGCAGCCGGGCCCCUCCCAAUCUGCCACGACCUGGGGGGAAGGGGCCAGAGGGGGAGGCUCCCUGGCCUAAGAGCAAGGGGCCAGGCUGGACUGGCUAUGGUGGGGAGGAGAGAGGACAGGCAGCAGGGUCUCCACAGAGGGGGCCUAGCAGGGGAUUUGAUGUGGCCUGGCUGAGGAGGAGGAGGGCCCAGCCCGGAGCCCCCCCACAACAACUGAGCACAAAGUGAGCCAAUCCAUAGCCCCCUUCUCCUCUCCCCAUCACUGGUCUCAUGGGGGGUACUGCCUCUGACCCCUGGAUCCCAUGGGAGCCAAGGAGCCAGGACGAGUCAGGAGGCUGUAUUUCUCAUUUUCCUCUGCUCCAGGAUCCCCCAUGCAUCCCUGAGUCCCAGCUGUCCCUGCCAGCUCAGUCCCCAGGCUUGGUGGCCUCCUGAGACUGGGAAGAAGGGACAGCUUGGGAUCUCAAAGCAUGAGCCCAAGAGAGGAUCCUGAGGACCCUGGUCACAAGUCAGUAACUCUAGAGAUGGGCGGGAGGGGAGAGGGAGGAAAGGAGCCCCCUCAUCCCCUGCCUGCCGCACCCUCAUCUGUGACCUCAGGCAGAGGACAGCCUCACUCAAUCAUCUCCCAGAUAACUGGGGGGACAAAGGGGGACAAGAAUGGGAAGGUGACCAGCAUGGACUUCAUGCCAAGCCACCAAGAAACGCAAGUCAACAAAGACCAGGCGGCAAAUUUACAUCAUAAUUAAUAAUAAUAAUAAUUAAUAAUAAUAAUAAUAAAUACUUAAUUCUCUAAUCCGUGGAUUGCA
rnacentral:lncRNA from 1 species